UACAAGGUGCUGCAUGGUUGUCGUCAGCUCGUGCCGUGAGGUGUCGGGUUAAGUCCCACUAACGAGCGCAACCCCUACUCUAUUAGUUGCCAUCAGGUCAAGCUGGGGACUCUAAUGAAACUGCCUACGCAAGUAGGUGAGGAAGGUGGGGAUGACGUCAAAUCAGCACGGCCCUUACGUCCAGGGCUACACACGUGCUACAAUGGCCGGUACAAAGGGCAGCUACCUGGUGACAGGAUGCUAAAUCUCAAAAGCCGGUCUCAGUUCGGAUCGGAGUCUGCAACCCGACUCCGUGAAGCUGGAAUCGCUAGUAAUCGCGCAUCAGCCAUGGCGCGGUGAAUACGUUCCCGGGCCUU
rnacentral:rRNA from 1 species